AAGAUGGUGUUGAUGGACCAAAUAACGAUUUUGCUGUUAUUUGAUAUAUUGUAAUUGAGUACAUUCGUUUCAGUGCUUUGAUACAUUCAUGAGUUUCAUUCCUGACUCUUGUAGGGUGCAAUGAUUGGCGUCACUCUAUGGCAAUAACUAUUUGCUGAAUUUGAGGCAAAGUUGCAUUGUGGUUCUGCAUAUUUGAUUCAGAACAUUAAAGUUGUUGACAAUCAUUCUACAUACAAAACAAGUAUCCCUUCAAUGUCCAAAAUAUCAAGCACGGGUCAAAGUUGUAUGUCAACAUUGAUAUAGCAAAAAUCCAAGAAUUCCAUAAUAGAUGUAGGUACGUUGUUCUAUUCUGGCAGAGUAUCAAAUGAAGGAAGUGUUUCUCAAUCACAAUAUAUCCAAUAUUCCCAACGAAACUCGGUUGAAAAGUUCUUGCAUAAUGCUCAAAUGGUUAGGUUAGGUGAAAUAAGCAGACUGAGACAGGACUGUUACUAUUUGAUCGUUGGUACGGUGGAUGAAGUCAUCAUUGAUACACCAUGGAGUUAUGAUAAUUAUCCCUAUUGUACUAUGACAUUUGAUCCAUUGAAAAUUGGUGUCAAUUUUUGUUCGUGCUAGAACCAAGUUACUCACACCAUUCCAAGGUAUAAGUUAGUUCUAAAAAUGGAACAGAAUGGGGAGAAGACUAACUUCCAUUUCUGGGAUGCAACAUGUAUCAAAAUCUUUGACAAAACGGCCGAUCAAUGUUGCCAAGAGUUGAUUGCAGUAUGUUUUCUGAAUUAGAAUCAUCCAUGUAUGUUAUCUAUAUUCAUAUUGCAUUUAAUUUGUUUAUUUAUUCAUAGAGUGGCGAUGAGAUCAAGGUUUUCCCUCCCUAUUUUGAUGAAUUAUUGGGAAAGACUUGGGCUAUCAAGUUUUAGUACCAUGCACGAUGCUCAAAAAGGCCUACAAUGUGUUGCUGAACCUUGGUACCAAUAUUUGAGAGACAAUGCCUUUAGUGUUGGAGAUGAGAUAUGUUUCUACUUCAGGCCUAAUAAAAAAGUAUGAAAGUUGAUAAUCAGAAAACAGUUGGCUUGGGAUGACAGUGACUCCAAUUGAAGAUGGCAAUUCAGUAGCUUAUUUUAGAAUUGUUUGUUGGUGAAAUUAUUAUGUGUCUAUGCUAAAGUACUUCUAUGUUGUAAUUCAAUUACCUAGCAUUGCCAGACAAUGUUUCCUUUUGGUAUUUACGACUAUCUGAACAACGUUACAAAACUAUAUGGUCAUUUACUAUUUGUUGAAAUAUAUAACUUUCUUUUGGAUAUAUUCAUA